UACAUGGGGUGCAACCGUUGCUCGGAAUUAUUGGGCGUAAAGCGCGCGUAGGCGGUUACUUAAGUCGGAUGUGAAAGCCCUCGGCUUAACUGAGGAAGUGCACCCGAAACUGAGUAGCUAGAGUACGAAAGAGGGUCGCGGAAUUCCCGGUGUAGAGGUGAAAUUCGUAGAUAUCGGGAGGAACACCGGUGGCGAAGGCGGCGACCUGGGUCGAGACUGACGCUGAGGCGCGAAAGCGUGGGGAGCGAACAGG
rnacentral:rRNA from 1 species